rnacentral:rRNA from 1 species
UACAGAGGGUGCAAGCGUUGUUCGGAAUUAUUGGGCGUAAAGGGCGCGUAGGCGGUGCUGUAAGUCUGUAGUGAAAUCUCUGGGCUCAACUCAGAGUCUGCUAUAGAAACUGCAGUGCUAGAGUGUGGGAGAGGUGAGUGGAAUUCCCGGUGUAGCGGUGAAAUGCGUAGAGAUCAGGAGGAACACCGGUGGCGAAGGCGGCCCACUGGGCAGUCACUGACGCUGAGGCGCGAAAGCUCGGGGGAGCGAACGGG